rnacentral:rRNA from 1 species
UAACAAGUCGGCCGGUAACGAAAGGGCAGACCAAACCCGCGAGGGGGAGCCAAUCCAUCAAAGCCGGUCGUAGUCCGGAUCGCAGUCUGCAACUCGACUGCGUGAAGUCGGAAUCGCUAGUAAUCGUGGAUCAGCAUGUCACGGUGAAUACGUUCCCGGGUCUU